GCGAGUCUGCAAACAUCACUUUAAAGGAAGAAUAAACAGAUUAAGAGCCCCCAUACACCAACUUGUCUGUCUUAUAAUGAGAGCUGAAACAGAAUGGAGAGGGAAUCGAUUUGGAAGUUCUCUGUAAACUCUUACAGCAUGUUUUCAAAUGGAUGAAGGAAGAAGACUAGAGUGGCUCAUGUUGCUUUCAAAACUGUAGGUUUAGUGAAAUCUGUGACUAUAGCCUGAAAUAAAAGAAAAUGCUCUGACUUACCUCUUUGGAUGGAGGGACAUGACUGAUAGCAUCGUGCUCUCUUUCUGUUCCAUUUAAUUACUAACUUAAUAUCUAAUGUCAGAUUUAAAUACAGAAAUAUAUCUGCAAAUGUCUUGACUGUUGCUGAUGCUGUUCUAGCGUGUUUAAGAGAGGAGGAAACUCGAUAAAAAUCUACUACCUAACUACAUUAUCAGCUUUGGUACACUUUAACCAAGACAACAUUUCAAACUCCACCUCAAUUCUGGAUGUAAAGUAUGAGAGGGAUUGCUUGUGAAGCUGAUUACUACAGCUAGACAGCUGUUGUUUCAAGAUCACUUCAACUGCACUAAAAACAACAGAGCAGAAUUAGAACAAUACCUCUGUGAAAGAUGCAAAUGUUUUCCAGAACAAGACUUGUGGUAUACUGAUUUUCAUAAGCUGUUUAGAAAUGAAGUAAUGAGUUCAAGCCACUUAGUGUUUGCUAAGCAGAACAAAUCUCUGGAUAGGUCCAAAUAAAUAUUUCUGAUCUCUCUGGUGUUUAAAAAGUUGGCUGUUCUCUAAGAUUUCAUACAACAGCCUGUGUAAUGAGAUAAUCAAACUCUGGCGAAUGUCAUGGGUUGUUCUUGGUCGUACCCAGGUAGAUGCAGAACAAUUUGUAAACAUGGAUCCUGUAAAUCCUCAGUUCUCCAUUUAUGAGUAUUUGCCCUGGCAUGUGUGUGUGAGUUUGGGGAGUGGGAAACCCUCCUGCUUUAUGCUGGAGACAACUGCUGAGUGACCAAGUGCCCUGUGUAGAGAUCCAUUGGCUUUGAUGUGUGAACUCAGGCUUAGGCUGUGAGAUAAAGUGGUGUUGGUGAAAAAUGUCACUUGGGAUAAAGGCGAGUGGCUCAGCAGGGCUAGAAGGGGGCUAACAAAAUGCAGUUUAAAGAUGAAAUAUCUGUUAGCUUCCCUUUCCUCUCUCCUUUAAACAUGCCAUAAGUCAGUUUGUGCAGAUCCUUGACACGUUCUCUUCCAGGAAGUUGGGACACUCGGUGAAGUGUUCUCAGGGGAUUUAUAAUCACCAUUUUUCACAGGUGUAGAUCUUGCCAUACAGAAAAGGGCUCUCUACUGUGCUCUUCACCUUCCCUGCCUGUUACAGUUUGGUUCCCCUGGACAAGGCAGAUUGUCGGAGCUUUCCCACGGCAUGAGCUCCAGCCCUUGAUCUGGCCCUGCCUACUCUUGUCAGGUCUCAACCGAGUCAUAAGCUCUGGAAUUGUAGUUUCCACGGAGUGCAAAGUGUUGGCAGCUUGGAACCUGCUCAAGGGGUGCGAGAGGAGGGGAUGGCUUGGUUCUGCUCCCCAAAACCCACCUGGUAUGACACCCCCAUGGCACAGCACCCAUGGGCGAUGGCAUGGGGGCUGAGGAGGUGUCUGCGGGGCUCGGAGAAACACAUACACUUUGCUUUCUUUGUACAACAUGUAAAGAGACUUCUGUGUUGCUGUUUUUGUGAUUCUUAAUUUGAUUUUGAUUGGCAGCUAAGAUUUAUUUUUUGUUUCUGUGGUUUUAAUUUAUCUAAGGUCUCUGCCUACAGAGGACGUGUACAAUUGCCUGGAAGACUGUUUGCUUUGUGCGGCCUUAGUAUAUUUAUUGACAUUAGCAAGUGUUUCGAAGAGGUUUUUACCACAGCCGGGCAGCCACAAGCGCUCGGGCCUCUCUGUGAAUAACGCAGUGCAUUUCUGUCAGUAGCUGACUGUACACGAGUGUCAAACUGUUAAGCUAUUUCUUUGUAAAAUAGUCCAACGGAAUGCAUAGAAUUUUUUUCCUGUAAAGUAUUUUUUUAAUAAACAAAGUCUGAUUUUGUCCUUUA
ensembl:lncRNA